AAAAAAAAAAACAGUUACAUUAUGUGCUGUUCGAAAACUGCAUUAGUCAAUAAGUCCUCUUGGUACUUUGCUAGAAUAUUUUGAACAUGUACAUAUGAGAGUGCUGAUGGUUAACAUUUGCAUUUACUUCCUGUCACAAAAUGCAUUCAACAGUACUCAUCUUAUCUUCAUAACACAAGUAUAACACAAGUAUCAUUUGGACCAACCCCUUUAUCUUUAUUCCAUAUAUGUUUGUUUGUGGGUUUUUUUUUUUGAUGAAUUUCAUUUCUCUUUUUUACUCCUUGGAUGUAUAUAUGCUGCCAUUAAGGAAAAUUGGAAUCAGGAUAUCAGCUUAGCACUUGUUUGGGUGUUACACAAAAUGUGGACAGGACAGAUGAACCAAUCCGCAGGUGGGAUGAAAGCCAACACUUCCAUCUCAUCUGGGAUUUGGGGUCCGCAAUGCUCUGCUUAGAGAGCAUGGCUAGACAAACAGUUACGCUUCUUGACUUAUUGGAUGACUAGAUUAUGGUGUUACUUUACAACCCACCAGACUCGAAUACUUUUAAUUUGCUCAUGACAUUCACUAUAUCAAUGGAUGGAUUCUUUAUCAUAUUAGAAAUGUUCUCUCCUGCUAAUAUUUGUUUGUAUGGGUUAAUAGAUUUCUUUGCUUGAUUUGGUUGCAGAUCAAGUUUCAUGUAUCUGUUUGUUAAUACAAAAGGGCGGUUGCAUCUGUUGAAUACAUAUCCAGUAUAGUUGCCAGUUUAGAGCCCCUAAUUCAAUCCAUGGAUGGACAAAGCCAUUCAGGGAACUUGCUUUUGCUUGAACAGAAUUGUAGAGGAGGAAAAUUUAAUGUGUGGAUGAAGCGGCGCAAUGGAAGAGUAAGAGUGAUUUGUGAAGAGUUUCAUAUGGAGCAAGCAGGCAUUAAAUUUGUAGUUGUUUCUUCUGGAAGUGUGGUGAUCAAUCAAACCCUUUUGCCUAAGGUACAAUUCAAUCUCCAGCUAUCAUAAAAGGAACGGGUAGAUAAGGCAAAUGUUAUACUUCCAUUUAAACACCAAGGU